ensembl:piRNA 21ur-4032 ncRNA
UCAAGAAUUCUCCGACGUACU